UUGAACGCUGGCGGCAUGCCUUACACAUGCAAGUCGAACGGCAGCACGGGGCAACCUGGUGGCGAGUGGCGAACGGGUGAGUAAUAUAUCGGAACAUACCCUAGCGUGGGGGAUAACGUAGCGAAAGUUACGCUAAUACCGCAUACGAACUAAGGUUGAAAGUGGGGGAUCGCAAGACCUCAUGCUCAUGGAGUGGCCGAUAUCUGAUUAGCUGGUUGGUGAGGUAAAGGCUCACCAAGGCGACGAUCAGUAGCUGGUCUGAGAGGACGACCAGCCACACUGGAACUGAGACACGGUCCAGACUCCUACGGGAGGCAGCAGUGGGGAAUUUUGGACAAUGGGCGCAAGCCUGAUCCAGCAAUGCCGCGUGCAGGAAGAAGGCCUUCGGGUUGUAAACUGCUUUUGUACGGAGCGAAAAGGCUCUCUCUAAUACAGGGGGCUCAUGACGGUACCGUAAGAAUAAGCACCGGCUAACUACGU
rnacentral:rRNA from 1 species